rnacentral:rRNA from 1 species
UACAGAGGGGGCAAGCGUUAUUCGGAAUUAUUGGGCGUAAAGGGCGCGUAGGCGGCUUGGCAAGUGGAAGGUGAAAUCCCUCAGCUUAACUGGGGAACUGCGUCUGAUACUGGAUGGCUUGGAUUCGGGAGAGGAAUGCGGAAUUCCAGGUGUAGCGGUGAAAUGCGUAGAUAUCUGGAGGAACACCGGUGGCGAAGGCGGCAUUCUGGACCGAUAUUGACGCUGAGGAGCGAAAGCCAGGGGAGCAAACGGG